rnacentral:rRNA from 1 species
UAUUAUUCCAAGAUAAAUUUUUACUGUGGUUAGUAAUAGAUAUUUACUUAAAAGCUAAAAAAUUUGGCGGUAAUUUAAUCUUCCCAGAGGAACUUGUUUUUUAAUCGAUAAACCGCGAAUUAUUUCACUUACUUUAAUAAAGUUUGUAUACCGUCAUUAUCAGGUAAUUUUAAAAAAAUAAAUUUCUUAGUUUAAGAGUUUACGAAAAUUAGAUCAUGGUGCASCUUAUAGGUAAGUUAAAAUGAGUUACAAUAAAUUACUUUAUAUGAAUAAUUAAAAGAAUUUUUAAUUUGAAGGAGGAUUUGGUAGUAUUCUAAGUUUAAUAUGCUUAGUAAAUGUCACCUCUAAAUUAUGUACAUAU